UACGUAGGGUGCAAGCGUUGUCCGGAAUUACUGGGCGUAAAGCGCGCGCAGGCGGUCUUCCAAGUCAGUGGUGAAAGCCCGGAGCUCAACUCCGGAAUUGCCAUUGAAACUGUUAGACUUGAGGAUGAGAGAGGUGAGUGGAAUUCCCAGUGUAGAGGUGAAAUUCGUAGAUAUUGGGAAGAACACCGGUGGCGAAGGCGGCUCACUGGCUCAUUACUGACGCUCAGGCGCGAUAGCGUGGGGAUCAAACAGG
rnacentral:rRNA from 1 species